GACGUAGGGCGCGAGCGUUGUCCGGAUUUAUUGGGCGUAAAGAGCUCGUAGGCGGUUUGUCGCGUCUGCUGUGAAAACGCGAGGCUCAACCUCGCGCCUGCAGUGGGUACGGGCAGACUAGAGUGCGGUAGGGGAGAUUGGAAUUCCUGGUGUAGCGGUGGAAUGCGCAGAUAUCAGGAGGAACACCGAUGGCGAAGGCAGAUCUCUGGGCCGUUACUGACGCUGAGGAGCGAAAGCGUGGGGAUCAAACAGG
rnacentral:rRNA from 1 species